GUAGUCCACGCUGUAAACGAUGAGUACUAGGUGUUGGGGGUAUCGACCCCCUCAGUGCCGAAGCUAACGCGAUAAGUACUCCGCCUGGGGACUACGGCCGCAAGGCUAAAACUCAAAGGAAUUGACGGGGGCUCACACAAGCGGUGGAGCAUGUGGUUUAAUUCGAAGCAACGCGCAGAACCUUACCUGGGCUUGACAUGCCAGGAUUAUCCCUGUGAAAGCAGGGUAGGCCCUUCGGGGGUACAACUGGUACAGGUGCUGCAUGGCUGUCGUCAGCUCGUGUCGUGAGGUGUUGGGUUAAG
rnacentral:rRNA from 1 species